rnacentral:rRNA from 1 species
GGUAACGGGGAAUUAGGGUUCGAUUCCGGAGAGGGAGCUUGAGAAACGGCUACCACAUCCAAGGAUGGCAGCAGGCGCGCAAAUUACCCAAUCCCGACACGGGGAGGUAGUGACAAUAAAUAACGAUGCUGGAUUAUUCUUAAUCCGGCAAUUGGAAUGAGAGUGAAUUAAAUCUCCACUCGAGGAACCAUUGGAGGGCAAGUCUGGUGCCAGCAGCCGCGGUAAUUCCAGCUCCAAUAGCGUAUAUUAAAGUUGUUGCAGUUAAAAAGCUCGUAGUCUGAAUCUUGGCCUGGUGUUGAGCGUCCGUGGCUCCUUCACGGGGGUUGCGUGCAUGCGAUAUACACUGGCCAGAAUUGUACUUCGGAGGAACAUGCGGUGCUUUUCAUUAAGUGCUCAUGGGAUUCCGAUAGUUUACUUUGAGAAAAAUAGAGUGUUCAAAGCAGGCGUUUUUGCCUUGAAUACAUUGGCAUGGGAUAAUGGAAUAGGACAUUGGUUCUAUUUUGUUGGUUUACGGACCGAUGUAAUGAUUAAUAGGAACAGUUGGGGACAUUCAUAUUCCGCGGCUAGAGGUGAAAUUCUUGGAUUCGUGGAAGAUGAACUAGUGCGAAAGCAUUUGUCAAAGAUGUUUUCAUUGAUCAAGAACGAAAGUUAGGGGAGCAAAGACGAUCAGAUACCGUCGUAGUCUUAACUAUAAACGAUGCCGACUAGGGAUCGGUGGGAGUUACAUUAAUGACUCCAUCGGCACCUCAUGGGAAACCAAAGUCUUUGGGUUCCGGGGGGAGUAUGGUCGCAAGGCUGAAACUUAAAGGAAUUGACGGAAGGGCACCACCAGGAGUGGAGCCUGCGGCUUAAUUUGACCCAACACGGGAAAACUCACCAGGUCCAGACAUGGUAAGGAUUGACAGAUUGAGAGCCCUUUCUUGAUUCCAUGAAAGGUGGCGCAUGGCCGUUCUUAGUUGGUGGAGUGAUUUGUCUGGUUAAUUCCGUUAACGAACGGGACCUUGACCUGCUAACUAGACACGAUAAGUGCUUUUGUGCUUGUCGGCAGAUCUUCUUAGAGGGACAAUCUGUGUUUCCAGCAGAUGGAAGUGCGAGGCAAUAACAGGUCUGUGAUGCCCUUAGAUGUCCUGGGCUGCACGCGCGCUACACUGACGAACUCAGCGAGUUUAUCACCUUGGCAGAGAUGUCUGGGUAAUCUUUUAAAAGUUCGUCGUGAUGGGAUAGAUGAUUGUAAUUAUUCGUCUUGAACGAGGAAUUCCUAGUAAGUGUGAGUCAUCAGCUCGCGCUGAUUACGUCCCUGCCCUUUGUACACACCGCCCGUCGCUCCUACCGAUUGAAUGGUCCGGUGAGAACGUCGGAUUUUGCGCUCGAUACUGGGCAACCAGUGACUUGUGCGAGAGAAGUUGUUCAAACCUUACGGUUUAGAGGAAGGAGAAGUCGUAACAAGGUU